rnacentral:tRNA from 3 species
GGAGAAGUACUCAAGAGGCUGAAGAGGACGGUUUGCUAAAUCGUUAGGGUUCGUUAAGGGCCGCAUGGGUUCGAAUCCCAUCUUCUCCGCCA